rnacentral:tRNA from 1 species
GGCAGGGUAGCCUAGUGGUUAGAGCGUUGGGCUAGCAACCGAAAGGUUGCAGGUUCAAAUCCCCGAGCUG